GGAGUUUGAUUCUGGCUCAGAUUGGACGCUGGCGGCGUGCCUAACACAUGCAAGUCGAACGAUAACAGGAAGAAGCUUGUCUUCUUUGCUGACGAGUGGCGGACUGGUGAGUAACACGUAAGCAACCUGCCUAUCAGAGGGGAACAACAGUUAGAAAUGACUGCUAAUACCGCAUAUGCCAUGAGUAUCGCAUGAUACAAAUGGGAAAGGAGCAAUCCACUGAUAGAUGGGCUUGCGUCUGAUUAGAUAGUUGGUGUGGUAACGGCAUACCAAGUCGACKAUCAGUAGCCGGACUGAGAGGUUGAACGGCCACAUUGGGACUGAGAUACGGCCCAGACUCCUACGGGAGGCAGCAGUGCGGGAAUAUUGCGCAAUGGAGGAAACUCUGACGCAGUGACGCCGCGUGCAGGAAGAAGGUUUUCGGAUUGUAAACUGCUUUAGACAGGGAAGAAGAAAGACAGUACCUGUAGAAUAAGCUCCGGGCUAACUACGUGACCAGCAGCCGCGGUAAUACGUAGGGAGCAAGCGUUAUCCGGAUUUAUUGGGUGUAAAGGGUGCGUAGACGGGAAAGCAAGUUAGUUGUGAAAUCCCUCGGCUUAACUGAGGAACUGCAACUAAAACUAUUUUUCCUUGAGUACUGGAGAGGAAAGUGGAAUUCCUAGUGUAGCGGGUGAAAUGCGUAGAUAUUAGGAGGAACACCAGUGGCGAAGGCGACUUUCUGGACAGAAACUGACGUUGAGGCACGAAAGUGUGGGGAGCAAACAGGAUUAGAUACCCUGGUAGUCCACACCGUAAACGAUGGAUACUAGGUGUAGGGUGUAUUAAGCAUUCUGUGCCGUCGCAAACGCAAUAAGUAUCCCACCUGGGGAGUACGGCCGCAAGGUUGAAACUCAAAGGAAUUGACGGGGGCCCGCACAAGCAGUGGAGUAUGUGGUUUAAUUCGAAGCAACGCGAAGAACCUUACCAGGGCUUGACAUAUACAGGAAUAUGCUAGAGAUAGCAUAGCUCUUCGGAGUCUGUAUACA
rnacentral:rRNA from 1 species